AUUGAACGCUGGCGGCAUGCCUUACACAUGCAAGUCGAACGGUAACAGGUCUUCGGAUGCUGACGAGUGGCGAACGGGUGAGUAAUACAUCGGAACGUGCCUAGUAGUGGGGGAUAACUACUCGAAAGAGUGGCUAAUACCGCAUGAGAUCUACGGAUGAAAGCAGGGGAUCGCAAGACCUUGUGCUACUAGAGCGGCCGAUGGCAGAUUAGGUAGUUGGUGGGAUAAAAGCUUACCAAGCCGACGAUCUGUAGCUGGUCUGAGAGGACGAUCAGCACACCUGGGACUGAGACACGGCCCAGACUCCUACGGGAGGCAGCAGUGGGGAAUUUUGGACAAUGGGCGCAAGCCUGAUCCAGCAAUGCCGCGUGCAGGAUGAAGGCCUUCGGGUUGUAAACUGCUUUUGUACGGAACGAAAAGCCCUGGGUUAAUACCCUGGGGUCAUGACGGUACCGUAAGAAUAAGCACCGGCUAACUACGUGCCAGCCGCCGCAGUAACAC
rnacentral:rRNA from 1 species